rnacentral:rRNA from 1 species
GACAGAGGGGGCGAGCGUUGUCCGGAGUCACUGGGCGUAAAGCGCGCGCAGGCGGUGACCUAAGUGUCGUGUGAAAGCCCCCGGCUCAACUGGGGGAGGCCAUGGCAGACUGGGUCGCUCGAGCUGCGGAGAGGCCCCUCGAAUUGCCGGUGUAGCGGUGAAAUGCGUAGAGAUCGGCAGGAAGACCCAGGGGGAAGCCAGGGGGCUGGCCGCAGGCUGACGCUGAGGCGCGACAGCGUGGGGAGCAAACCGG